CCUGUAUUAGAGCAUUGGUUGUUGUACAUUUUAACACUAUUUUUAUAGCUAUGGCUAGAAUAGUUUUAUUUUGGUGAAUUUUUUUUGCACAGUGAUUAUUGGUGCCAAAACAAAAUGGCCGACAUUUGUCCCAUUUUACCAUGCUAUAAAGUUUUUAUCAUUAUCAGAGUAAAACUUGACUGAUCAUUACCAUAAUGGUUUUAUUUGUUAGAUAAUAACUAAAUCUACAUGAAUACAUUAAUUUUGUCCACUAGCUUGCCUGUUCAGAAAAGUUAUAACAGAUACUGUUAUGUGGCUCUUGAUACCCUAUGUGCAAGUUUCUCAUUGAUUAGACCACUGAAUAAGACACUGGUUUAGGACCACGCCUCCAACACAAUUAAGCGUUACGUGUCAACUGGUUAUGCGCCAUUGAGUAGGUAGUCCAAACUGGCGAAAAAGUGCGUUUUAGGGUCAGUUUUUGCGGUUUUCAAAAAAAAAAAAUUCACUACUUCUAGUUGUCCUAUAAGAAUAAAAAUUAUAUGUCAAUAAAGUUUAAGUCUUUAUCUGUCGUAAUCUGGUAUUUUUAUAUCUGUAACACAUGUCUGAAUGUGUUUUAUAUUUGUUUGAAAAGUAUCAGUUACGUCAACAAAUUUCACCGUUUUGCGUGUACCGAUCGACCCCACACUGUUUUAUUUGGUCGCGGCUUCGCGACGAAGCAUCGUAGAAGCAUAAUCUUAAUGUCAUUUUAAAGAUCGAAUUCUAGGCUAUCGUUUGAUGUAUAAAUUGAAAAAAUAACUUGUUUAUUUCAUUUAAAAAAUACAGAUUUUAAACUUUAAAUGACGAUAUAUACACGGAAACAAACUAAUUCUGUUUCAAUUUUUACACCGAUGUAAAGUUCAGUUUUAUAACUACUUUGUGUUGUAAAUUCAAGUAUUUCUGAUUUACGGUCGCGAAGCCGUACCCCCAAUAAACAUAUAACCCUCGAGUCGACUUUCAGCCCCGAGUAAGUUGCUCGCCGAACGGUUUUAAAGGUUGACGACCGAUGAUGCUAAACGGAUUUUACCCUUGCUAGAGCCUUCAAACAAGUUCUGGAGACAUUUACAGUGGCCUAUCCAGAACUUUCCUUACAAGGGAAGGGAAGAAGGCCAAGACCCCACUCCCCCCUACAAUUCCCAAAACAUAUUACUUACUCUUGAUGCUCCACAAGAUCAAGGUUGAGGGAAACAAGACGUACAAAGAUGUGGAGUUGUAGUUUUAAAAACUGUUCCCCCAAAGCAGUUAUCAACCGUAUAGGUUUGAAAAGAAACCAAAGCAUGUGGCAUCAACUGCUGCAUCACUUGUAGG